CAGAGCUCCUGUGGUGUACAAACUUUCAAGUUCAAAAAGAAUGCCAGUGCUUUUCAUGUGUCUGUACACAACAUCUGAGGCACAAAACUCGAUCUCCGCUGCGCCUCGAGAAGACCUGGAGAGGAGCCGCCACCUUACCACAAUCAAAAUGUGAUGGUGCGGAUAGAGUUUGGAGACACUGAAGACAUGUGAAAGACCGUCAGUAUAUAUUUGAUGCUCCUGUCUCACAGCUCAACAGGGGUUCUAUCUUCACAUUCUCAUCUCCUUCACACUCUCAAGAUAAGUGAUGCCCAGUUCCUCUCAGGGUGACAUAAAUCAACUUGAAGAAAGCAAUCUGGGAGCUGGACGUGGUACACACUCUUUAGAUGAGACUUCCUCCUGACAGUUGGUACUGCUACAGUUGGACAUGUUGAAUAUAUUGUAUUUUUAUUUGAUUUGAAAGCUGUAAGAAAGCUUAAAUGUGUCUCCUUGUUUAGCAUGCAGACAGUGUGUAAAUUAUGCAACUUCCAAGGGGAUAAACAAG
ensembl:lncRNA